GACGAACGCUGGCGGCGUGCUUAACACAUGCAAGUCGAGCGGAAAGGCCACUUCGGUGGUACUCGAGCGGCGAACGGGUGAGUAACACGUGAGUAAUCUGCCCCUCACUUUGGGAUAGCCACCGGAAACGGUGAUUAAUACCGGAUAUGACCAUAUGUCGCAUGGCGUGUGGUGGAAAGUUUUUCGGUGAGGGAUGUGCUCGCGGCCUAUCAGCUUGAUGGUGAGGUAAUGGCUCACCAUGGCUUCGACGGGUAGCCGGCCUGAGAGGGUGACCGGUCACAGGGGGAUGGAGACAGGGCCAAGCCCCCUGGGGGAGGAAGAGGGGGGAAAUGUGGGAAAGGGGGGGGAGGCGUGACCCAGCAACCCGGGGGGGGGGAGGCCGCCUUUGGGUUUGUAACCCUUUUGCAGCACCGAAGAAGGGAAAGGGAGGGGGGGAACAAAAGAAGCCCGGGCCAACUCGGUC
rnacentral:rRNA from 1 species